rnacentral:rRNA from 1 species
CAGGUGGUCAGGUAGAGAAUACCAAGGCGCUUGAGAGAACUCGGGUGAAGGAACUAGGCAAAAUGGUGCCGUAACUUCGGGAGAAGGCACGCUGACAUGUAGGUGAAGCCCCUGCGGGUGGAGCUGAAGUCAGUCGAAGAUACCAGCUGGCUGCAACUGUUUAUUAAAAACACAGCACUGUGCAAACACGAAAGUGGACGUAUACGGUGUGACGCCUGCCCGGUGCCGGAAGGUUAAUUGAUGGGGUUAUCGCAAGAGAAGCUCCUGAUCGAAGCCCCGGUAAACGGCGGCCGUAACUAUAACGGUCCUAAGGUAGCGAAAUUCCUUGUCGGGUAAGUUCCGACCUGCACGAAUGGCGUAAUGAUGGCCAGGCUGUCUCCACCCGAGACUCAGUGAAAUUGAACUCGCUGUGAAGAUGCAGUGUACCCGCGGCAAGACGGAAAGACCCCGUGAACCUUUACUACAGCUUGACACUGAACAUUGAGCCUUGAUGUGUAGGAUAGGUGGGAGGCUUUGAAGCGUGGACGCCAGUCUGCGUGGAGCCGACCUUGAAAUACCACCCUUUAAUGUUUGAUGUUCUAACCUGGCGCCGUGAUCCGGCGUGGGGACAGUGUCUGGUGGGUAGUUUGACUGGGGCGGUCUCCUCCCAAAGUGUAACGGAGGAGCACGAAGGUCAGCUAAUCCUGGUCGGACAUCAGGAGGUUAGUGCAAUGGCAUAAGCUGGCUUGACUGCGAGAGUGACGGCUCGAGCAGGUGCGAAAGCAGGUCAUAGUGAUCCGGUGGUUCUGUAUGGAAGGGCCAUCGCUCAACGGAUAAAAGGUACUCCGGGGAUAACAGGCUGAUACCGCCCAAGAGUUCAUAUCGACGGCGGUGUUUGGCACCUCGAUGUCGGCUCAUCACAUCCUGGGGCUGAAGUAGGUCCCAAGGGUAUGGCUGUUCGCCAUUUAAAGUGGUACGCGAGCUGGGUUUAGAACGUCGUGAGACAGUUCGGUCCCUAUCUGCCGUGGGCGCUGGAGAAUUGAGGGGGGCUGCUCCCAGUACGAGAGGACCGGAGUGGACGCAUCACUGGUGUUCGGGUUGUCAUGCCAAUGGCACUGCCCGGUAGCUAAAUGCGGAAGAGAUAAGUGCUGAAAGCAUCUAAGCACGAAACUUGCCCCGAGAUGAGUUCUCCCUGAGACUGUAAGUCUCCUGAAGGAACGUUGAAGACGACGACGUUGAUAGGCCGGGUGUGUAAGCGCAGCGAUGCGUUGAGCUAACCGGUACUAAUGAACCGUGAGGCUUAACCUUA